rnacentral:rRNA from 1 species
UGUAUUUAUUAGAUAAAAAACCAAUGCCCUUCGGGGCUCUUUGGUGAUUCAUGAUAACUUAACGGAUCGCAUGGCCUUGCGCCGGCGACGGUUCAUUCAAAUUUCUGCCCUAUCAACUUUCGAUGGUAGUAUAUGGGACUACCAUGGUUUCAACGGGUAACGGGGAAUUAGGGUUCUAUUCCGGAGAGGGAGCCUGAGAAACGGCUACCACAUCCAAGGAAGGCAGCAGGCGCGCAAAUUACCCAAUCCCGACACGGGGAGGUAGUGACAAUAAAUACUGAUACAGGGCUCUUUUGGGUCUUGUAAUUGGAAUGGGUACAAUUUAAAUCCCUUAACGAGGAACAAUUGGAGGGCAAGUCUGGUGCCAGCAGCCGCGGUAAUACCAGCUCCAAUAGCGUAUAUUAAAGUUGUUGCAGUUAAAAAGCUCGUAGUUGAACCUUGGGCCUGGCUGGCCGGUCCGCCUCACCGCGUGCACUGGUCCGGCCGGGUCUUUCCUCCUGGGGAGCCGCAUGCCCUUCACUGGGNUGUGUCGGGGAACCAGG